UUAUGUGGCGUCAGCCGGGCGGGUGGCUUGAGCACCGCCCUUGGCCUGGGCAAGCGACCGGCUGCAACCGAGCUUUUCAGGGCCCGCGUCCUGAGGUACUGGAGAGACAGCCAACAAGCUCGGGAAAAGGGAGAUUGUGAAAGAGGCCGUCUACACACGGAAGGGUGGGGCGAUGAGGUCAGUCCCAUGCCACCCCAAUUAAGACCAGUCUGACAGGUUAACAGGAUUCCAUCUGCUGUUCUCACAGCAUUUGACCACUGAUUUUGCAGUUAGUGCUCAUGGAUUUAAAGUUUACUGUGAAGGAGUGAGAAGAAGGAAAUAUAGAAACAGAGCUGUGGUUCUUUUCUCUUAGAGGAUGGCAAAAU